rnacentral:rRNA from 2 species
GAAUUCUGCAGAGAUGCGGAAGUGCCUUCGGGAACUGUGAGACAGGUGCUGCAUGGCUGUCGUCAGCUCGUGUUGUGAAAUGUUGGGUUAAGUCCCGCAACGAGCGCAACCCUUAUCCUUUGUUGCCAGCGAUUAGGUCGGGAACUCAAAGGAGACUGCCAGUGAUAAACUGGAGGAAGGUGGGGAUGACGUCAAGUCAUCAUGGCCCUUACGACCAGGGCUACACACGUGCUACAAUGGCGCAUACAAAGAGAAGCGACCUCGCGAGAGCAAGCGGACCUCAUAAAGUGCGUCGUAGUCCGGAUUGGAGUCUGCAACUCGACUCCAUGAAGUCGGAAUCGCUAGUAAUCGUGGAUCAGAAUGCCACGGUGAAUACGUUCCCGGGCCUUGUACACACCGCCCGUCACACCAUGGGAGUGGGUUGCAAAAGAAGUAGGUAGCUUAACCUUCGGGAGGGCGCUUACCACUUUGUGAUUCAUGACUGGGGUGAAGUCGUAACAAGGUAACCGUAGGGGAACCUGC